AACGAACGCUGGCGGCAUGCCUAACACAUGCAAGUCGAACGAGAUCUUCGGGUCUAGUGGCGCACGGGUGCGUAACGCGUGGGAAUCUGCCCUUUGGUUCGGAAUAACAGUUGGAAACGACUGCUAAUACCGGACGAUGACGAAAGUCCAAAGAUUUAUCGCCAGAGGAUGAGCCCGCGUAGGAUCAGCUAGUUGGUGUGGUAAAGGCGCACCAAGGCGACGAUCCUUAGCUGGUCUGAGAGGAUGAUCAGCCACACUGGGACUGAGACACGGCCCAGACUCCUACGGGAGGCAGCAGUGGGGAAUAUUGGACAAUGGGCGAAAGCCUGAUCCAGCAAUGCUGCGUGAGUGAUGAAGGCCUUAGGGUUGUAAAGCUCUUUUACCCGGGAUGAUAAUGACAGUACCGGGAGAAUAAGCUCCGGCUAACUCCGUGCCAGCAGCCGCCGUAA
rnacentral:rRNA from 1 species